rnacentral:rRNA from 1 species
AUUGAACGCUGGCGGCAUGCCUAACACAUGCAAGUCGAACGAGUGGCGGACGGGUGAGUGAUUUCUGGGAACCUGCCUGAUGGAGCGGUAUCACUACUGGAAACGGUAGCUAAUACCGCAUAACACCAUUUGUGCUCACAGGGGAUUAGCUAGUCGGUGGGGUAUCGGCUCACCAAGGCGACGCGCCCUAGCUGGUCUGAGAGGAUGACAAGCCACACUGGAACUGAGACACGGGCCAGACGCCUACGGGAGGCAGAAGUGGGGAAUAUUGCACAAUGGGCGCAAGCCUGAUGCAGCCAUGCCGCGUGUAUGAAGAAGGCCUUCGGGUUGUAAAGUACUUUCGGCGGGGAGGCGUUACCCGAAGAAGAAGCACCGGCUAACUCCGUGCCAGCAGCCGCGGUAAUAC